rnacentral:rRNA from 1 species
GCGGGGGAGCACCACCAGGCGUGAAGCCUGCGGUUUAAUUGGAGUCAACGCCGGAAAGCUUACCGGGAGCGAAAGCAGAGUGAAGGCCAGGCUGAAGACCUUGCCAGACAAGCUGAGAGGAGGUGCAUGGCCGUCGCCAGUUCGUGCCGUGAGGUGUCCUCUUAAGUGAGGUAACGAACGAGACCCGUGCCCCAUGUUGCCAUCAAAUCCUAUAUGGAUGUUGGGCACUCUUGGGGGACCGCAGCCGAUAAGGCUGAGGAAGGUACGGGCAACGGCAGGUCAGUAUGCCCCGAAUCUCCCGGGCCACACGCGGGCUGCAAUGGUAGGGACAGAGGGCUGCAACCCCGAGAGGGGAAGCCAAUCCCUAAACCCUACCUCAGUUGGGAUUGAGGGCUGAAACCCGCCCUCAUGAACCUGGAAUGCCUAGUAACCGCGCGUCACCAUCGCGCGGUGAAUACGUCCCUGCUCCUUGCACACACUGCCCGUCGAACCACCCGAAUGGAGUCUGGACGAGGCGUGGUCGUUAGUUGGCCGCGUCGAAUCGGGCUCUGUAAGGAGGGUUAAGUCUAAC